AUGUCUCCGUGGAGAUGUUGGCGUGGGUGUGCCAUGGUGACAUCCACGAUGGACGCACAGCUCUGACAAUCCUACCCCACCCCUUGUAAUAAGCACCAUGGGCCCAACCUCAGAGGGCUGCUCAUUUGGAAUGCAAUCAAGCUGCUGUCACUCUUGGCCUGGGACACGGGAGAUUAAAUUUCACUGAGAUGUUUAGCAGGAAGGUUCCAAGACUGUAAUCAUCUUUGCAGCAUAUUGUUCUGCGGUCAGCAUCCUCAGGGAUACAUUGGUGCAGCAAAUGAUGGGAAGAAGCUGGAGAGGAAAACCAAAGUGAAUCCAGA